CCAGUCCUUAGGUUUUGCUGUUCACCAAAACACUUAUUUUAUUCAUCUGAAAUGCUUGGCCAGCAAUGCACACAGUAUGAGAGACAAAUAGGAUGAACUUGAAGCACUGGUCUGUUCCCAGUCCUGUGAUGGCAUUGGUGUCAGCUAGAUGUGGUGGGAUGAGCACCACAGGCAGGGCAUGUGCAGUGGAGGAGUUGCACUGUGUGUGAGGGAGAGGUGUGGCUGUACAGUCCUUACAGUUAGAAAUUAUAUGUUUGGGAGCUUCUGGAUGAGGAAUGGUGGGGAUGGAAAACAAAGUAAAUGUUGUAGUGGGUGUCUACUAUGGGUGGCCCAGGCAGAAUAAUAGGAUUAAUGAGUUAUUCUAUAGGCAAGAGAAAUAUCUGGAUCAGCAGCCUUUGUCCUUAUAGGAGAUUUUAACUUCCCAGACAUCAGCUGGGAAUACCAUCCUGAUGUGACAAGCAAGUCUGGGAAAUUCCAGUGGUUUGUUGAAGAUAACUUCUUGAUCCUAUUUCAUUGAGUCAGCUAGGAAAGAUUACAUCCUGGACUUGUUAUUUGUGACUAAAGAAGGACUCAAGGCGGAUGUGGCAGUCGGUGACUGUCUUGGCCACAAUGAUCACAGAAUGGUUUAGAAUUGUCACAGCAAGGGUUUAAAAUUGUCACUGUAAUGAGAAAAAAAUAAUUUCUACCCUGGACUUCAGGCAAGCAAACUUUAAGCUAUUCAUGGAGCUAUUUAGCAGAGUCCUCUGGGAAUCUGCUUUUGUGGGCUUGGGGGUCCACAAGUGCUGGUCAGUUUUCUACAGCUGCCUUUUAGAGGCACAGGAGCAGACAAAUCCCCUGUGUUUUAAGUCAAAUAAGCAGAGAAGGAGACCAGCUCAGCCAAACAUGGAGCUCAGGAGGCAAAAGAAAUGUCAUAAUCUCUGGAAGCAAGGUCAGGCUUCACAGGAAGAUUGCAGAGCUCUAGUUUGUAUAUGCAGGGAGAAGACAUGUAAGGCCAAAGCUGAUAUAGAGUUGAAACUGGCCAGUGCUAGGUCAGAUGACAAAAUAGGCUUUUUAAAGUAUAUUAGUAGAGCAAGGAAGUCUCAGGAAAACAUUGAACCACUACUUAUUGAAGAUGAUCACCUGAUAAAUAGGAAUUAAGGAAAAGGGAAAGCAUACAAUGGUUUUUUUAUCUCAGACCCUAAUGAUAGACCUUGGGUUGCCUGGUCCCCUGAGUCAGAGGACUAUGGCUGUAGGAACAGUGACUUUUCAUUGCAAGGAAUCAGUUGCCUCAGUUGAAUGUUCUUAAUCCCAUGAGGCUUGAUGGAAGUCAUCCCAGAGUUCUGAAGGAAGUGAGUAUGUUGUGACAGGACCCCUCUUGAUCUCCCAGAGAUCUUGGGAGUCUGGGGAGGUCCCCUCUGACUGGAAGCUAGACAGUGUUAUUCCAAUUUAAAAGGACAUGAGUGAAGACUCAGGAAAGUACAGACCUGAGUACCUGGAAAAAUUACGGAGAAGACCAUGCUGCAUACUACUGAAAGUCAUUUAAAGAACAAUGCAAUCAUCAGGCACAGUCAACAUGGGUUCACAAAGGGAAAGUCCUGUUGAACUAAUUUGGUAUUUUUCUGUGAGGUUACCCACCUAGUGGAUGAAAUAAAGGUGGUGGACAUAGUCUUUAUAGAUUUUAGUGAGGCUUUUGAUACUGUCCUUCAUGGCAUCUUUUUGGACAAGCUGUCCAGCUGUGGGAUGGGCAGGUUUGUGAUGUGUUGGGUGAUGAUCUGACUCAGCAAGGUCCAAGGGCUGUAGUGAAUGGCACUACAUCUGGCUGGUGUCACAGCAAUGCUCCUCAAGGCUCAGCUCUAGGCCCAGUUCUCUUUAUUGUAUUUAGCAGUGAUCUGGAUUCUUUAUUGUACUUAUACUUAUUCUGGAUGCAGGAGUUGAAUGAGCCAAUAGCAACUCUGCUGGUGAUAAUGCCACCGGCUCUCUGGAGGGAGAAGAGGCCUUGCAGAGGAUCUAGAUAGAUUGGAGCAUCAGGCAAUGAUUAAUGGGACAAAAUUUCCAAUUCCAAAGGCCACAUUCUGCACCUGGAAUUGAGUAACACCAGGCACAAACGUAAGUGGGGAGAGGGGUGGCUGGAGGGCAGCACUGCAGAAGGAGAUCUGGGGGUGCUGGUUUGCUCAAUAUGAGCCAGAAUUGUAAUUGUAUUGGAGUUCUGUGUGCAGUUCUGGGCCCCACAGUUUAAGAAGGGUGUUUCAAUGCAUUCAGAGGAGGCAGCAAAACUGGUGGAGGGGCUGGAAGGUACAUCCUAUAAGAAGCAGCUAAGACUUUUAGUUUAGUUUGAAGGGAAGGAGGCUGAGAGGGAACCUCAAAGCUCUCUACACCUCCCAGAGGAGAGGGAGAGGAGAGAGGGAUCUCUUCUCCUUUAUAUCCAGUCACAGGACAGUGGUUGAAAGCUGCUCCAGGAGAGAUGUAGAGUGGACAUUAGGAAGUACUUCUUUACUGAGGGAGAGGUCAAACUCUGCAACAGGUUCCCUAGAGUGGUGGUCAAUGCCCCAUUCCUGGCAGUGUUUGAGGCAUCUGGGGAAAUGUCUUUAACACUAUUUUUCAAUGAGCCCUGAAUUGGUCAGGCAGUUGGAUUAGAUGGUUGUUGUAGAUCCCUUCCAGCUAAACUAUACUGUUCUAUUAUUUUCUGUCCAGGAAGUUGUUCUACACCCAUAUUCCCAAGGACAUCAGUGUCUAAUUUGGGCAGUUACAUUCAGUUCUCCUUCAACAAAAAUAAAGGAAAAAUGACUGCCUUGAUUAAUAUGAGGCUGCUAUUAUUAAACAAAUAUUCCAGGAAAGAUUGUCAAAUUUAUAGCUUACAGGAAACUCCAGAGAAUGUCUGCAUUUAAAUAGGUCCCUAGGAGGAGAUAAAUCCAUGAAUAUCAGUGUUUUGCCAAAGUUAGCUAUAAGCACCUGUGUCUACAACUGGUAACUGUUGUGCCAUUACUGUACACUGUCAUCAAGUAUUUAUUUAAACAAACUGUAAACUUACUUCUAUUUACAUAAACUAUAAACCAGCAGCCUUCCAUUUCCAGGAAUAGUAUUUAGUAAAAAGAGGGACUAGUCUGUGUUUGCAGUACUUUGUACCCUCUACACGGUCUGCUGGUGAAGCAGAAUAUUAAUUGGAGAAAGAUCUGCCAGUGCAAACGUAAAUCCUGGUAUCUUUUGCAGCAGGUUAGCAAUAGAAUGCCCGACUCCAGAGUUGUUACCGUCCCUGUCUUAUCAGCUACAGCAGAGAGGAAGAGGCAGAGGGUGUAGCUUCUCUUGCUGAAAGAUAUUAUCUUCUCUCUGGGCCAACUGCUCUGAGUGUUCUGUGUCUCAGAGACCCAUCUCUUCCUGUGUUCUUCUCAUUUUUCCUGAAGAAGACGAGGGCAUGGAUAUGCAAAGUCCUCAGGAGUCACACCUGGGGGUGGGCGCUGUGCCUUGACAGAGGUCAGGAAAUGAGUAACCUGCAAACAGGCUGUAACAGCUUCCCGCCUUUUUCUUCUCUGUAUUAAGGUAUAUGAAUCAUGGGGAUAGACAAUGAUUUUACAGUGAUCGCAGAGGGUCAGGAAAUGACUAAUCUGUAAGGAGGUUGUAAAAGCUUCCCAACUUUUUCUUCUCUUUUUUGAUGAAUAUGAAUCGUCACGGGGAUAGACAAUGAUUUUACAGUGGUGGCAGCAUAAAGAUGGCAGAUUUCUGUGCCUGUCAGAAGAGAACUGCUUAACUCAUCCUGUCAUUUCUUAACCGAGACAACCAAUUCUGAAGCAACAGCUGAUUUGGUAACGGGCUAGCUGAUUUCUAGUAGAAGUCAAAGCAAGCCACACAUGAAUUAAACCUGCAUUUUUAAAUGAAGAGAAUAAACCACCUGUUCAGACAUAGAGGAAAUUAAAUUUUACAGUCUUACAGAAACGUGUUUUAUUCUUUUAAAAUCAAAAUAACCUAUCUGAAAAAAAAAAAAACAAGGUAUUUUUUAUUGGGUAUUUUUUUUCUGAACAUUUCCAUCAACAUUCUAGGGGAACUUUAGGAGACAAACUUCAUAAAGCUUUCCUAUGGAAAAAAAAGUAAAGGGAUCAUUUCAGAUGACUGCAUUAAACAUUACAGGAAUGUGGAUGUCCCAAUUUCCCUCACCAAUGAAUGAAGCUCUGUAAGAAAGAAAAAUACCCAAAGGUCAAGAUAGCCUCUCAGUAUGUGCAAUUUUCUCCAUGGUAACUAUAAUGCAAUGGUUUGUGUAGUAAUGGCAUCCAAGUGAUGCUGGGAGUACAGAUGAUACUAGACAACUUUUAAAACAACUUUUUAAAAGUCUAUCUGUAUUUAAGAAACAGACUAAGCUACUAGAGAGCGUAUCUACUACUUCAGAACAGCAAAACAAAACAAAAAUUAUUAAAAUGUAAAGAAAAUCUAACCCUGUGCAACUAGCAAGCAAAGGUACAGUGCUUUACGGAAAAGGAGCAGCUAGCAAAAAGAAAUGUUUAGAAAAAGAAAUGGCUUUUUGUCCUUAAAUAUGUGAUCACAGAGGCAGUACUAACUUCUCUAGUUGGGCCAGCCAAUAUGUCCAUGGUCAGAGCCUUCAGGGAUUGGCUCUGCUGGACAUUCUAGAAGUUUUGAGGAGCUUCUCUCUCAGAAGCAACUUCUGUGGCUUUUUCUCCACGCCCACUAAAAGCCAGGUUUUGUUAAACUAACUCAGCUGCUCUUUCCGUGCUUGUACUGAUCUCCUGGGUGGAAUUUGAGUAAAAUUCCUUUCCUUCCUUGUCUACCCUCCUUCAUUUCUGCAAUUCAUGCAAGAGAGAUUAUCCUAAAUGGCUGACCUGCUGUUCUCCUGACUUCACAGACAUCUCUCUUUGAUGCUAAGUAGUUCAGGAUUUAGUCUUCCGUUUUCCUUUACUCUCUACAGUGAUGGAUGAGGGUUUCUAAUGGUUGUCUUUCAGUGAUUUUAAGACUUGGUCUCACAGUAAAUCAUGCCAUGGAAUUUAACAUUCUUGCCCCACACAUAUUUUAAGUUUUAUGAUGGAAAGAGAUUCAUUCUGGAUGCAACAGCCUGUAUGGUAUGUCUGCUACCCUCAAAUGCCUGCUUAGACAAAUAUGAAACUAUGAAAAUACUCUUUUCUAUUAUUAUUAAUUUUCUUCCUUCUGGUCCAUUUACCAACUACCCUCAGAAGGUGCUUAUACCAGAAAAUGCUCAGGACAAGCAGAAUCAUUUUUUUCUGUGCAGCGGAAGAGAAAACUGUGAUUGAACCUCUUGCUAUCACUAACAUUUAUACUUAUUUCAUUUGAUAUGAAAACUAAUGUUAGCUGGCUUGACUCCAGCCUGGGGGAAGCAUGGGGAGUCCCUUUGGCAGGGAAGAAAGGCACAGCUUGUGCUUAAUCCUUGCCAUUUCUUGCCAUCUAGUGGCCUGCCAAAGCACCAGUCCUGGGCCUCGCAGCUCACACCUUUAAAAUCCUCAUCAGAAGGGAAGGAGGGUGCUGCAUGCCCAGGAAAAAGAGCACUGAGAGGCAAAUUCUGCCCCUGCACAGCCAAGUCACCUCCAUCCUCCCCUCCUGCUCUUCUCUGCCCAUUCUCUCUUCCCUCCAGAGGAUGCAGGUGGCAGAGGCUUUGGUCACUCAUUGUCACCUUGUCUAGGAUGGAAAGGGCUUUAAAGUUUUAUUUGGUGUUUGCUGAAUAACUAAGUUGGGCUUUGGCCAGCACUGAAGUGGAGAUGAUGGAAAGACAGCAGGGGUUUUUUUGUUCUUGGUGCUAGUGGGCUGGGUGGAAUAACACCUUCCAGGCUUGAACACCUUGAUGUGGUCAGGUUAGAUUAGGAAGGCGAACUUGGAUGUUGACAUCUGUUACAAGAGCAAAUGCAGGUGAGUGCAUUGGUCUGACAGUCCCUAAAUCCCCCAUUGUGGGAACUGCACAAGUCGUUUUAUCUGUACAUUUUUGGUACAUUGAAAAUAUUUCAAGUGUAAACUCCAGAGUUUGUUUUUUUUUUUCAGAUUCAGGUUAUCAGGGUUUUAUUUAGAUAAAACAUUUCCCAGAGGAAGUAUGAUGCUUUGACACAUUCAUCUAAAAAUUCCCUGCAAGUAGAGAAUGAAAGGGAAUAGUAUGCUUUGAAAGCCUGGUACUUUCCACCUUAUUUUCUACAGUAAUCAGAUAAAGUAAAAACAGG